CGGGAAUAAACGGAUCCACGCGUGGAUUUUUGCAUGUACCGUAUGAAUAAGGAUCGGCUAACUCCGUGCCAGCAGCCGCGGUAAUACUCGUAGAGGCAGCAGUGGGGGAUAUUGCACAAUGGGGGAAACCCUGAUGCAGCGACGCCGCGUGGGUGAAGAAGCGCCUCGGCGCGUAAAGCCCUGUCAGCAGGGAAGAAAAUGACGGUACCUGAAGAAGAAGCCCCGGCUAACUACGUGCC
rnacentral:rRNA from 1 species